UGAUAAAACUCUUUAGCACAGAGGGAGGAGGGGACGCUAGCUGAUAUUUACCAAGCCGUCAUUUCCAGUUUUUAAUCCUUUCAGCAACUGGAUGCGGCAAAUUCUAGGGACAUCCCCAUUUUAGAGAUGAGAAAACAGACUCAGAGCUGACAGGUGAAGGAGUGAGGAUGAAAACACAAGCCAUUUAUCCACGAUGCUCCUAAACGUUUACUCGCAUAGAUUCCUUGGUUCUCUAGGGGAAUUUCUGGCAAGCAAAAUUCACAGUAGAGCAAAUUCCGCUGCGGAACACCUUGCAGGAGGAAUAGGUUAAACCCGACGGCCCGGGGCAUGCUGGGUAUUGUAGUUCAGCGGCGUCGCGGAGCCUGCCGGGAGUUGUGGUCCUCGGCGCUGAAGCUCCCUCCGAGCAGCUCCAUCCCCUCUCUCGGAAGUCACAGCCAGUCCCCCGAGCCGGAUUCGGCGGGUGCCUGCGCUUCAUCUCCGCCUUGGGCUGGAGCUGGUAGCUGUUUACAGGACAAGAGUCCUGUUUAUCGGAUUGUUGGGAAGAUUAAAAUGGUUAAUGGAACUAAAGAAUUUAGAGAAGGCCUUGACACAGAGCGAGUGCCGUAUUAAGUAUUAGCUAUUAUUUUUCUUAUUAAUCCUCAAUGACCCUUGCAAAGAAGCUUUUAUCAUCUCUAUUUGUCAGAUAAGGAAACUGAGGCUCAGAAGCGUAGGAAUGCUUUCCCAGGAUCCCACAACAAGGAAGGAAUAAAAUCAGGUGUCCAGAGAAAGAAGGUGCUGGCACAGGAAGAUGGCAAGAGCUAGGACCUCGGAUGAUGUGGUUGGGCUGCUGAAGGAAUCCCGGGGCUGUCUACCUACAGGUUUCUUAAGAUUUCGUAAGAUGUGAGAUAAGUGUCUUUAUUGCUGAAGCUGCUCUUAAAGAGAGAGACAGAGCAUGAACGGGGGAGGAGCAGAAAGAGAGGGAGACACAGAAUCGGAA